rnacentral:lncRNA from 1 species
AAACGUUCUCAGUUUCAGUUAACACUAUUCAGGCUAGAAACAGCAUCCCAACCUCAUCUCCACCAGCAGGUCCAGAGGCUGCCUCCUCCUGGAGCUGUCUCAGUAUCUGUUGGAACGCUGACAAGCAGACAGUAAGACACGCCCCCGCCAAUCUUGUGUCCUGCUUUACUUCCUCCAAGGUGUUAUAACACAGCACUGUCUCGUUUGCUUUUGUUUUCAUUUUAGUUUUUAUUCCUCAAAAGCAACCUCCUUUCUGAAACACUUUACUCAUCACCACCCCCCACUCUGUUUCAGCAACUCACGAAUCAUUCUGAAGCACUCAGGCACAUGCCUCUUGCCAAAAUUGCUUCUAUAAAAAGGAGCUGGAGAGAGAGCUCAGUGGUGAAGAGCUGCCCUUCCUCGGAGCUGAGUUUGAUUCCCAGCGCUCACCCGUGGCCUCCACUCACCUAUACCUCCAGCUCCAGGAGCUCCAGCAACCCCUUCUGUCCUCCUCGGGUAUUGAACUCACAUGCACAUACAGUCACACACGCACACACGCACACACACACACACACACACGCACACACACACACUUUAAAUAAAAACAAUUCUUUGAAGAAAUAUGGGAUGUCCUCUUUUCCUGUUUAGGGAUUAAAACCCCAAAGGGAUUAGAGAAAAAUUAAAGUCCACCAGAAAUGCGUGUGUACUCUGCCACAUAAGCUAGAAUAGUGUUGAAACCACUCAUCAGUACUCUACAUGCAUGGAAUCACAUGCCCAAAGGAGACUUCCACAGACACCAGGGUGACGGCUCCUGACCACAGGUAGCUCUAACCUCUGACUCCUUAGGAAUAUUUAGUGCACGUUAGAUCACAUAGGGAAGAGACAUGGCAUACUGUUAGAAUCAGGAAGCAGGGGCAGCCUGGGUUUAUGUUAAGAACUCCAUCUGCACUCUGUUUCUGUUUGCUUUCCUGACAUUUCCUGGUAUUAGCUAAAGGAAACUGGGCGGUGUGAAUUUUGUGAGAAGCACAGACCCUGAAGGGCUGUGUUCACUCUGGCGUUGGGAUGAUGGUGUCCGGUCCAAGGACAUCCACUGAGUGUGGCUGCUGAUGUUAUGGUCAUGUUCACAGUCAUGAAGCUGAGACUUCACAUUGGGAAUCACAAGCACCCACUUUCCAAAGCAGAGACUCUGUUGAUGUUGUAAAGGCACCUAAAUACCUCAACUCUCUGGGCUGAGAAAGGAGCUGCAGGCUUUUAAGAGGGCGGCUAAUGUACUCACUCCACAAAGUCACGCCAUCCAAACCCGACAUGCUAGAUUUUUCUCACUGUGGAAAAGUAACACAACCAUUCAAUUCUUAUCCCAAAGUUAUAAUACAAUCUGUAGAUUUCACUAACUUGGUUCCGUUUCGUUUGGUCCUUACAAAGUAUAACUUGCAUUUGCAGAUGGUAAUUUCUGGUGUGUUCUCUGCUACUCUUUUUUUUUCUUUCCUGUAUGAAAUUGCUGUAUUGUUAACGUGUGUUCGUUUUGUGGUUUCUAACUCCCAUUGGUGCACUAUACAAUGGGGUGGGUCUUGUAAAUGUACCAUG